rnacentral:lncRNA from 1 species
UCUCAUUCUAGGGUUCCUCUGAAACCCUAGCUAUUCGAGUUUUUCUCUAAUUGUUUUCUUAGAUCGGGUCAUAAUUGUUCCUCUAAAACAUGGCAGGUAUGUAGGAAAGACAUCUGGAAACUCCCUCACAACCGGAAUAGAAUAAUUGAUAGGAGACUCAGCUCUGACAUCCCACACAAAGGCUAAAUAUGAUAGACAACCCUUCCCAACCAUACGCUGGGACUUUAGGAAAGAGAUCACUCUACAAAGGACAUAAUCAGUCACACCGCGCUACUCGAUCCUCGGAACACCCGGCAAAGCCAAAGUGACUGUCUUAGCAUGACAAUUUAGAAUAGUAUGGCACGGAGAUAGCCAAUCCAUGCCUAAAAUAAUGUCA